rnacentral:misc_RNA from 1 species
GGGGGUAGCCAAAUGCCUCGUCA